AGUCGAGCGAACGGACGAGAAGCUUGCUUCUCUGAUGUUAGCGGCGGACGGGUGAGUAACACGUGGAUAACCUACCUAUAAGACUGGGAUAACUUCGGGAAACCGGAGCUAAUACCGGAUAAUAUUUUGAACCGCAUGGUUCAAAAGUGAAAGACGGUCUUGCUGUCACUUAUAGAUGGAUCCGCGCUGCAUUAGCUAGUUGGUAAGGUAACGGCUUACCAAGGCAACGAUGCAUAGCCGACCUGAGAGGGUGAUCGGCCACACUGGAACUGAGACACGGUCCAGACUCCUACGGGAGGCAGCAGUAGGGAAUCUUCCGCAAUGGGCGAAAGCCUGACGGAGCAACGCCGCGUGAGUGAUGAAGGUCUUCGGAUCGUAAAACUCUGUUAUUAGGGAAGAACAUAUGUGUAAGUAACUGUGCACAUCUUGACGGUACC
rnacentral:rRNA from 1 species